rnacentral:rRNA from 1 species
AUUGAACGCUGGCGGCAUGCCUUACACAUGCAAGUCGAACGGCAGCACGGGAGCAAUCCUGGUGGCGAGUGGCGAACGGGUGAGUAAUAUAUCGGAACGUGCCCAGUCGUGGGGAUAACGUAGCGAAAGCUACGCUAAUACCGCAUACGAUCUAUGGAUGAAAGCGGGGGAUCGCAAGACCUCGCGCGAUUGGAGCGGCCGAUAUCAGAUUAGGUAGUUGGUGAGGUAAAGGCUCACCAAGCCGACGAUCUGUAGCUGGUCUGAGAGGACGACCAGCCACACUGGGACUGAGACACGGCCCAGACUCCUACGGGAGGCAGCAGUGGGAAUUUUGGACAAUGGGCGCAAGCCUGAUCCAGCAAUGCCGCGUGCAGGAUGGAAGGCCUCGGUGUAAG